rnacentral:rRNA from 1 species
GACAGAGGUGCCAAGCGUUAGGCGGAAUCACUGGGCUUAAAGCGUGUGUAGGCGGGUGCCUAAGUACCUUGUGAAAUCCCACGGCUCAACCGUGGAACUGCUGGGUAUACUGGGUGCCUUGGGUCAUCUAGGGGCUGCCGGAACAAAUGGUGGAGCGGUGAAAUGGCGUAGAUAUCAUUUGGAACGCCAACGGCGAAAGCAGGCAGCUGGGGAUGCACCGACGCUGAGACACGAAAGCCAGGGAGCG